GAAUCACCGAGAAGAAGAUACCAUGCCCCUCCAGCCACGGUGGACUGGCUCCUCGGAAACUGCGAGCUGGAAUAAAUCCCUCUUCCCUCCAGUUUCCUCUUCUGAUGUUGUCCUAUGUGUGGGAAAAGAAACUACUGAAGAGCUGUCCUGUUUGCUUGUAUGAAACCGCGACGGCAAAAGCAAAGACCUGGAGAAGACUAAUCCAAGAGAAGAGGGAGAGGGAGAGGAGAGACCAUGGCUUUUACCCAGCGUCCCAUCAGAGAAGGGGGAGGAAGGAGAGCUCGGAGAGCCUGACCCCGGGAGUCUUCAUCUUCAUAAUAAUGUCAUUCUUUCUUGUUGUUGCUUAAGCUUACUUGAGUUUGGCUUUUACCACUUGUGAAUCUUAACUAAUAAAAUCUACUAAUUGAGUUAA